GGGAGGCAGCAGUGGGGAAUUUUGCGCAAUGGGGGAAACCCUGACGCAGCAACGCCGCGUGAAGGAUGAAGUCCUUUGGGAAGUAAACUCCUUUCGACCGGGACGA
rnacentral:rRNA from 1 species